AUUGAACGCUGGCGGCAUGCCUUACACAUGCAAGUCGAACGGCAGCGGGGGAGAAGCUUGCUUUUCCUGCCGGCGAGUGGCGAACGGGUGAGUAAUACAUCGGAACGUGCCCUGUAGUGGGGGAUAACUAGUCGAAAGAUUAGCUAAUACCGCAUACGACCUGAGGGUGAAAGUGGGGGACCGCAAGGCCUCAUGCUAUAGGAGCGGCCGAUGUCUGAUUAGCUAGUUGGUGGGGUAAAGGCCUACCAAGGCGACGAUCAGUAGCUGGUCUGAGAGGACGAUCGGCCACACUGGGACUGAGAAACGGCCCAGACUCCUACGGGAGGCAGCAGUGGGGAAUUUUGGACAAUGGGCGAAAGCCUGAUCCAGCAAUGCCGCGUGUGUGAAGAAGGCCUUCGGGUUGUAAAGCACUUUUGUCCGGAAAGAAAUGGCUCUGGUUAAUACCUGGGGUCGAUGACGGUACCGGAAGAAUAAGGACCGGCUAACUACGUGCCAGCCGCCGCCGUAACAC
rnacentral:rRNA from 1 species